rnacentral:rRNA from 1 species
UUUUGCGGUUUGGGAUGGUCUCGCGGCCUAUCAGCUGGUUGGUGGGGUAAUGGCCUACCAAGGCUUUGACGGGUAGCCGGCCUGAGAGGGUGACCGGCCACACUGGGACUGAGACACGGCCCAGACUCCUACGGGAGGCAGCAGUGGGGGAUAUUGCACAAUGGGCGCAAGCCUGAUGCAGCGACGCCGCGUGAGGGAUGACGGCCUUCGGGUUGUAAACCUCUUUCAGUUGGGAAGAAGCCCCUUUGGGGGUGACGGUACUUUCAGAAGAAGCACCGGCUAACUACGUGCCAGCAGCCGCGGUAAUACGUAGGGUGCGAGCGUUAUCCGGAAUUAUUGGGCGUAAAGAGCUCGUAGGCGGUUUGUCGCGUCUGCUGUGAAAUCUCGAGGCUUAACCUUGAGUUUGCAGUGGGUACGGGCAGGCUGGAGUGCAGUAGGGGAGACUGGAAUUCCUGGUGUAGCGGUGAAAUGCGCAGAUAUCAGGAGGAACACCGAUGGCGAAGGCAGGUCUCUGGGCUGUUACUGACGCUGAGGAGCGAAAGCAUGGGGAGCGAACAGGAUUAGAUACCCUGGUAGUCCAUGCCGUAAACGUUGGGCACUAGGUGUGGGGACCAUUUCCACGGUUUCCGCGCCGUAGCUAACGCAUUAAGUGCCCCGCCUGGGGAGUACGGCCGCAAGGCUAAAACUCAAAGGAAUUGACGGGGGCCCGC